GGAUAUUGCGCAAUGGGCGAAAGCCUGACGCAGCAACGCCGCGUGCCCGAGGAAGGCCUUCGGGUUGUAAAGGGCUUUUCUGGCUGAAGAGGAAGGACGGUAAGCCAGGAAUAAGUGUCGGCUAACUACGUGCCAGCAGCCGCGGUAAAACGUAGGACACGAGCGUUAUCCGGAGUUACUGGGCGUAAAGGGCAGGUAGGCGGACAGGCAAGUUGGGUGUGAAAUCUCCCUGGCUUAACCGGGAGGGUGCACUCGAAACUGCUUGACUGGAGGGCGGCAGAGGAGCGUGGAAUUCCGGGUGGAGUGGUGAAAUGCGUAGAGAUCCGGAGGAACACCAGAGGCGAAAGCGGGGCUCUGGGCCGCACCUGACGCUGAACUGCGAAAGCCAGGGUAGCGAACGGG
rnacentral:rRNA from 1 species